AGCCCCGAACCCGCCGUGCGCUCCCGGGCACCCCGCAGCGCUCCCUCGGGGGCCGGGCUGUCGGCGGGCCUUGCGCUGCCCCCCUCCCCUCUUCCUGCCCCACUGGGGUUCCCACGGGUCCCGGCUGAGCUCCCACGGGGACCGGUGGAGUCCCAGAGAAUGCCCGCUCGGGGUCCCAGGAACCGGGGCUGUGGGAGGAAAAUGUACUGCCACUUGAGAAGACUAUGAGGGAGGUAUGUCUUCAGAGGUAAUCCAGGUGAGAGCAGCAGAAAAGAGAGGCUGGAGGAAGACGAACGGAUGUUUGCUGACAGUGUUCUCUGCAGAGAACACCCUGCACUGGUUUCAGGAAUUGGACAAGAUGUGGCGGGAGCUGGAAACCUGAGGCUUCUUAAGAUGGAGGUUUCUCGAAGGCAUAUUGAUUAUACCCAGAGCACCUAAAAUAUGAAGUUAUUGGCAAAUCCUGGUUGAACUGAGGCUGGGGAGUGGAGUGGAAAAAAGGCACAGAACAUGAUGUGCAGAACAUGAUGUCAGCUCACCUGGAAGAAAGGAGGAAAAAGGGGCCAUUUGUGGUUG